UAUUUCAGGCCAAAAUUCUAUUUCACCAAUUUCGGACCUCUUUUCCCAAUUUUCUCUAUAUCUUUCUCUCACUCUCGAUAUUUUUUUUCUUGUUCCAUUUCUCUUCCAUUUCAAGUGUGAGGCUGAUUGUUCUUGGAUCUCUCUUCCAAUACACCUGUGCGACUGACGGCUCUCUCUCUGACUGGCGGUAAGUCUUUUUUUCUUUUUCUGUUUAUUUUUUUCAUCUUCAAUUCUAAAAGAUUUGAGCUUUCUUCAGGAAAUGGGUAACUUUAAUUUCAUUAAAAGGCACAAUUUUUAUGUCUUUUUAAUAUGUGUUUGUGUUGGAAUCCAUGGUUCUUUUCUGUGUUUUCUCUUUGAUUUUUAUUUGGAGUUUUUUUUUUUGAAUUUGAUAAUUCUAAUUUUUUGAGAAAGGCAAAAUAUUUAUGUGCUUUCUAUGUUAGAAUCAAGAAGAGGUAUAAGCAUUACGAAAAGAAGUUGAUGAGUUGAAGGAGGAACGGAAAGAAGAUCGUAUAAAUUUUAAUAAAUUGCAGAAUCUAGUGGAGAAACUUAUGAGCACACGUCAAUUUGAUCCUUUGAAUGGCGAGGAUGACAGGGAUCGUGAGUUUUAGUUUGUUGUGAUUGUGAUGUUUGAGAUAUUAUAUGUUGGGGUUGGAUGUUUAAACUUAGUAAUAUUUGCACUUGACUAUGAUUGUAAUGUUCUAGACUAGAGUGAAUGGUGCAUGAAUGUUUAACUUGUGUUUGGAUGUUUUAGUUACAAAAUGUUUAUGUUUUUUAUAAUUGUUUGCAUUUUAUGAGUUUGAUUAGUUGAAAUGGUGGAUUGAUUGGUUGGAAUGGUGGAUUGACUGGUUGGAAUGAUGGAUUGAUUGUUUAGUUACUGUAUAUCUGAAUUGGCAGGUGGUGCUGCUUUAAAACAGCUGAAAUCUCGCAAAAUAUUUCCAGAUUUUCGACUACGGUAGUCGCAAAGUGCUUAGUAAUUUUUCAGAUUCAGGAACAUUUGCGACUGCUGUAGUGGAAAAAUUAAAUAAAUUAAAUAAUAUAAAAUUAGUUUUGCGACCGCAGUAGUGGAAAGAUAAAUAAAUAAAUUAUAUUAAAUUCAAAUUGCGACCGCAGUGGUGGAAAAUAUAAAUUAAUAAAUAAUAUUAAAUUAUAUUUGUGACCACAAUAGUGGGAAAAGUUAAAUAUAAUAAAAAUACUUUAUAUUAUUUGAGACCAUUCUGGUGAGAAAAGUUAAAUAAAGUAACAAUUAUAAUACCUUUUGCGACUGACGUAGUGGGAAUUUAAUAUAAAAUAAAUAUUUAAUUUAAAUUAUUUACGACCGCGUCAGUCGGACAGUUGACAUUUAUUAGUAGUUUUCCUUUUUGUCUUUCCGACUGCGGUAGUCGCAAAUUACGGACCGAUUCAGUCGCAAAUUAUUUCAGACCAGCUAUUUUACGACCACGAUAAUUCAAUCGCAAUGUAGUCGGAAAUUAACUUUUUCUGACCGAUUUCCAACCGUUUUGACAGUCGGAAAAUAGCCAUUUUCUAGUAGUGUAAUUUAUUGCUGGUUUUAUUUUCUUGGUUCUAUUUUGUUUCCUGGAGAUAGCUUAUAUGGGGAUUGGGGGUGCUAAAGUUGUAAGAAGUCUGCCAUUUUACUUUUAAGUCUUGAAAAGCUUUUUGGAAAUUGUUUUUCAACCAAACACCAUAAGAGAGAGUAUUUCAGUUUUUGCAAAACCGAAAAACUUCCACUCAUCCCAUCGGGCACAUCCGAUAAAAUUAGAAUGAUACAGAGAAGAUUAGCACACACCUGCGAAAAGAUGACAUGCAUAAAUCGAGAAAUUGUCCAACUUUAUUUUUAAAAACUUUCAUUACUUCUAUUCCAGCCAUUUUGAAGAAAAAAGAAAAUUGUACAAACUUUGAAAGAAAUACUAUUAGUGAUCACAAAAAACAAAUUACGAGCUACUUACAAACGAAAAAUUAACACUCAUGUAUGCCAGCCAAACGGGACUAGUACUAGUAUGAAAGGUAAGGUAUCUCUAAGCUAAGGUACCUUUGAUAUGUAAACAGAUACAUACAACAGCUUCAAUGAGCCAUUUUGUUCUGUAGAUCCUCUAUACUUCUAUAUUAGUUCUAAGCUUCUGCGAGUGACCUUUUUGUCUUACAACACGACAUUGUAAGUGAUCUAAAGCUUAUGCCAUAGACCUCCACAUUAGGCAGCAUUCUGUCUGCAUUUUCUUUGUAGCUACUUACAGCAGAAAACAUUAACUGCUACGUUAAGGUACCUCUGAUGUAUCAGCAGAUGCAAACGCGGCUUCCAAAUAAGACCUUUUAUUGUAUAGAUCCUCUAACUAUGUUCACCCGACUCUCUACUAUUUUGAUUACUUUGACUGAAAAAGUUUGUACUAAAAUCUUGAUUACCGAAUGCCACCUUCCUAAACCAACUUAUUUCUGCAGAUUGUAGUGCAGAGCCAUGUAUUGCACUUUCACCAACUUUCAUCCCGUUUGAAAGAUCAUGUAUAGCCAUACCAUCAAAAGCUCUCAUGAUCUGCGAAGCAUAAGUAUGAUCGGAAUAUAAAUGCCAAUCACGAGAUGUCUUAAGGGCGUUUCUGGCAUAGGUUUUCAUUCAAUAAAAUGGAACAAGUGUUACCUGUCCCAUUGCUGGUCUCUUUGAAGCUGAGUGGCGCACACAAGAUGCAGCAGCCUCAAUCAUUCGAAAAAUCUCACUGCCAACGUAGUUCUUCUCAAGGCGCGGAUCUGCCAACUGAUCAAAUUCCUCUUUUUCAAGUGCCUGACUAAGCAAAGGUCGAGCCUGGAAGACAAGAAGAUCAAGUCACCGUAUUAUAUAACUUUUUUGUGAGUGAUUCAAUUACAAAAUCAUUUUAUGCCGAAUUCAAGUUUAGCAGAGGUAAUUAGUACCGGUUUUCAGUUCUAAUCAAAAGAAUGAAAAUCUUCUUCUGACACAUCAGAAGAAUAUUGCCAUGCUUCCUUAGAAAAGAUAAAUAUAUUUGUUAUGGCCCUAAAAGCUUUUUUAACUGGCUAUUGGAAGUAGACUGAUGAGAAAAGAAACUAAAGAGAUCAAAGAAAAAAAAAAGCAGAGUAAAUGGAAGUCACACGCU
rnacentral:lncRNA from 1 species